rnacentral:lncRNA from 1 species
AGUACUGCAGUGUGCGGCGCAUGGCUGCGAGGGCCUGCCGAGGGGCGGGCGCGAGUCGGAAAGACACCGACCAGGGAAUGGGCGACGAGGCUUGCCUUAAUUCGGAGGAAACCCAGGACUUGAGAGAGCCAUACAAUUUGAAAGACGAAGCACCGUGAAAUGCAGAAAGUUGUGGUUCGGAUAGCUCAGCUGAUUAAUUUCAUGUUGCCACAGUUUGUCAAACAUGGACAAGAUGGCUGGGGUCCUGUGGAGUUCUAGUAAUCUUCUUACGAUAAUAAAGCAACCUUAUGCCAUAUGAUAUGCUAAGGAUGGAGGAAGAUAGAGUCUAGGUGCCUGAUGACAACAUGGAGCUGUCAAGCCCUGCAUUGCCUCCCCCUGGACGUCUCAUUAUGGGAGAAAAUGAAGCAAUUUGUUUAAGC